UUGACUUUCUGUUGAUAUAGUGCUUAGGACU
rnacentral:piRNA from 1 species